UUUUUUGUGCAUUUUUCGGGAUUUUUUGUGAAUUUUUUGUGGCACAAAGACGAUGAAGAUGAAGAUGAUGAUGAAGAUGAAGACGAAGCAGAGGAAGAGGAGGCCGAGGAAGGCCCCGGGCAGGCGCGCCGAGCGCACGGCGUGGGUGCCGAAGAUGAAGAUGAAGAUGAAGAAGAUGAAGAUGAAGAAGAUGAAGAUGAAGAAGAUGAAGAUGAAAAUGAAGAAGAUGAAGAAAAGGAAGAAGAGGAAGAGGAAGAAGAGGAAGAUGAAGGUGAAGAUGAAGAAAAUGAGGAGCAUGAUAAUGAAGAUGAAAACGAAGAUGAGGAAGAUGAAGUUGAAGACGAAGAUGAUGAAGAUGAUAAAGAUGAAGAUGAAAAAGAUGGAAAUGAAGAAGAUUAAGAAGAUGAAGAUGAAAAAGAUGAAGAAGAUGAAGAAGAUGAAGGUGAAGAUGAAGAAGAUGAAGAUGAAGGUGAAGAUGAAGAUGAAGAUGAUGAAGAUGAUGAAGACAAAGAUGAGGAACAUGAAGAUGAAGAUGAUAAAGAUGAAAAUGAUAAAGAUGGAGGUAAAGAGGAAGAUGAUGAAGAUGAAGAUGGAAAUGAAGAGGAAGAUGAAGAUGAAGAUGAAGAAGAUGAAGAAGGUGAAGAAGGUGAAGAAGAUGAAGAAGAUGAAGAUGAAGAUGAAGGUGAAGAUGAAGAUGAAGAAGACAAUGAGGAACAUGAAAAAGAUGAAGAAGAUGAAGAUGAAGAUGAUAAAGAUGAAGAUGAAAAAGAUGGAGGUAAAGAGGAAGAUGAUGAAGAUGAAGAAGAUGAAGACAAAGUGGAAGAUGAUGAAAAUGAAGAUGAAAAUGAAGAGGAAGAUGAACAUGAAGAAGAUGAAGAUGAAGAAGAUGAAGAUGAAGGUGAAGAAGAUGAAGAAGAUGAAGAUGAAGAAGAUGAAGAUGAAGAUGAAGAAGAUGAAGAAGAUGAAGAAGAUGAAGAUGAAGAUGAAGAAGACGAUGACGAAGAUGAAGAUGCAGAAGAAGAAGAAGAUGAAGAUGAAGAAGAUGAAGAUGAAGAUGAAGAAGACGAUGACGAAGAUGAAGAUGAAGAAGAUGAAGGUGAAGAAGAUGAAGAUGAAGAAGAUGUAGAAGAUGAAGAUGAAGAUGAAGGUGAAGAAGAUGAAGAUGGAGAAGAUGAAGAUGAAGGUGAAGAAGAAGAUGAAGAACAUGAAGAAGACAAUGACGAAGAUGAAGAUGAAGAAGAUGAAGGUGAAGAAGAUGAAGAUGGAGAAGAUGAAGAAGAUGAAGAAGAUGAAGAAGAAGGUGAAGAAGACGAUGACGAAGAUGAAGAUGAAGAAGAUGAAGAAGAUGAAGAAGAUGAAGAUGAAGAUGAAGGUGAAGAAGAUGAAGAUGAAGACAAAGAAGAAAAAGAAGAUGAAGAAGAAGAUGAAGAAGACAAUGACGAAGAUGAAGAUGAAGAAGAUGAAGAACAUGAAGAUGAAGGUGAAGAAGAUGAAGAUGCAGAUGAAGACCACCCCCGUCUCCCCCGCUCACCAGUAGAAGACGCAGCUGACCUCCAGCCAGGUGAGGGCGCUCCUGUCCUGCCGCAGCCACCGCAGCCCCUCCUGCGCCCACCUGGACUGAGACCCCGCCCCCACCACCCCCUGGCCACGCCCCUUCCCCCAGGCCACGCCCAGGCGCCA
rnacentral:lncRNA from 1 species